CCUAUACAUCUCAUGCUGAUCCAUACUAAUGUUUUUGAAAAAAAAAGAAAUCAUAAUCCAAAAAAAUAUAUAAUCACCAUUAAAUUAAAUAAAAAAUGGAAGUAAAAAGCAAAAUUCUCAUUGCUUCCAUACUUUUUUUUCAUCAAUUUUUUUUCUCACCAUGACCUUUUUAUGACAAAUCGAAAUAUCAUAAAAGUUACCCCAACCAACCAAUAUCAAUACCAC
rnacentral:lncRNA from 1 species